UACGAAGGGGGCUAGCGUUGUUCGGAAUCACUGGGCGUAAAGCGCACGUAGGCGGCUUUUUAAGUCAGGGGUGAAAUCCUGGAGCUCAACUCCAGAACUGCCUUUGAUACUGGGAAGCUUGAGUCCGGGAGAGGUGAGUGGAACUCCGAGUGUAGAGGUGAAAUUCGUAGAUAUUCGGAAGAACACCAGUGGCGAAGGCGGCUCACUGGCCCGGUACUGACGCUGAGGCGCGAAAGCGUGGGGAGCAAACAGG
rnacentral:rRNA from 1 species